rnacentral:rRNA from 1 species
AUUGAACGCUGGCGGCAGGCUUAACACAUGCAAGUCGAGCGGGGGAAGGUAGCUUGCUACCGGACCUAGCGGCGGACGGGUGAGUAAUGCUUAGGAAUCUGCCUAUUAGUGGGGGACAACAUCUCGAAAGGGAUGCUAAUACCGCAUACGUCCUACGGGAGAAAGCAGGGGAUCUUCGGACCUUGCGCUAAUAGAUGAGCCUAAGUCGGAUUAGCUAGUUGGUGGGGUAAAGGCCUACCAAGGCGACGAUCUGUAGCGGGUCUGAGAGGAUGAUACGCGCCACUGGGACUGAGACACGGCCCAGACUCCUACGGGAGGCAGCAGUGGGGAAUAUUGGACAAUGGGGGGAACCCUGAUCCAGCCAUGCCGCGUGUGUGAAGAAGGCCUUAUGGUUGUAAAGCACUUUAAGCGAGGAGGAGGCUACUCUAGUUAAUACCUAGGGAUAGUGGACGUUACUCGCAGAAUAAGCACCGGCUAACUCUGUGCCAGCCGCCGCCGUAA